CCAAUAGCGUAUAUUAAAGUUGUUGUGGUUAAAAAGCUCGUAGUUGAACCUUGGGCCUGGCUUGCCGGUCCGCCUCACCGCGUGUACUGGUCCGGCCGGGCCUUUCCCUCUGUGGAACCUCAUGCCCUUCACUGGGUGUGACGGGGAAGCAGGACUUUUACUGUGAAAAAAUUAGAGUGCUCCAAGCAGGCCUAUGCUCGAAUACAUUAGCAUGGAAUAAUAAAAUAGGACGUGCGGUUCUAUUUUGUUGGUUUCUAGGACCGCCGUAAUGAUUAAUAGGGACAGUCGGGGGCAUCAGUAUUCAAUUGUCAGAGGUGAAAUUCUUGGAUUUAUUGAAGACUAACUACUGCGAAAGCAUUUGCCAAGGAAGUUUUCAUUAAUCAGGAACGAAAGUUAGGGGAUCGAAGACGAUCAGAUACCGUCGUAGUCUUAACCAUAAACUAUGCCGACUAGGGAUCGGGCGGUGUUUCUAUUGUGACCCGCUCGGCACCUUACG
rnacentral:misc_RNA from 1 species